rnacentral:rRNA from 1 species
AUUAAACGCUGGCGGCAUGCCUUACACAUGCAAGUCGAACGGCAGCACGGGGGCAACCCUGGUGGCGAGUGGCGAACGGGUGAGUAAAGCAUCGGAACGUGCCCUGGAGUGGGGGAUAACGUAGCGAAAGUUACGCUAAUACCGCAUAUUCUGUGAGCAGGAAAGCAGGGGAUCGCAAGACCUUGCGCUCUGGGAGCGGCCGAUGUCGGAUUAGCUAGUUGGUGGGGUAAAGGCCUACCAAGGCGACGAUCUGUAGCGGGUCUGAGAGGAUGAUCCGCCACACUGGGACUGAGACACGGCCCAGACUCCUACGGGAGGCAGCAGUGGGGAAUUUUGGACAAUGGGCGCAAGCCUGAUCCAGCCAUGCCGCGUGCGGGACGAAGGCC